rnacentral:SRP_RNA from 2 species
GCUGGGCAUGGUGGCAUGUGCCUGUAAUCCCAGCUACUCGGGAGGCUGAGCCAGGAGAAUCACUUGAACCCGGGAGGCAGAUGUUGCAGUGAGCCGAGAUUGCACCACUGCACUCCAGCCUGGGUGACAGAGUAAGACUCUGUCUCAAAAAAAUAAUAAUGAUGUAAAAUAAAAUAAAAUAAAUGUCAAACAUAUGAGGAUUUUUAGUUCACUUUUUAAUUUCUGUUUUUUUAGUCUUACUCUGUUGCCCAGGCUGGAGUGCAGUGGCGCGAUCUCGGCUCACUGCAACCUCUGCCUCCCGGGUUCAAGCGAUUCUCCUGCCUCAG